rnacentral:rRNA from 1 species
AUUGAACGCUGGCGGCAUGCCUUACACAUGCAAGUCGAACGGCAGCACGGGAGCAAUCCUGGUGGCGAGUGGCGAACGGGUGAGUAAUAUAUCGGAACGUGCCCAGUCGUGGGGAUAACGUAGCGAAAGCUACGCUAAUACCGCAUACGAUCUAUGGAUGAAAGCGGGGGAUCGCAAGACCUCGCGCGAUUGGAGCGGCCGAUAUCAGAUUAGGUAGUUGGUGAGGUAAAGGCUCACCAAGCCGACGAUCUGUAGCUGGUCUGAGAGGACGACCAGCCACACUGGGACUGAGACACGGCCCAGACUCCUACGGAGGCAGCAGUGGGGAAUAUUGGACAAUGGGCGAAAGCCUGAUCCAGCAAUGCCGCGUGAGUGAUGAAGGCCUUAAGGGUUGUAAAGCUCUUUUACCCGUAGAUGAUAAUGACAGUAUCGGAGAAUAAGCUCCGGCUAACUCCGUGCCAGCAGCCG